rnacentral:rRNA from 1 species
GAUGAACGCUGGCGGCGUGCCUAAUACAUGCAAGUCGAGCGAACAGACGAGGAGCUUGCUCCUCUGACGUUAGCGGCGGACGGGUGAGUAACACGUGGAUAACCUACCUAUAAGACUGGGAUAACUUCGGGAAACCGGAGCUAAUACCGGAUAAUAUAUUGAACCGCAUGGUUCAAUAGUGAAAGACGGUUUUGCUGUCACUUAUAGAUGGAUCCGCGCCGCAUUAGCUAGUUGGUAAGGUAACGGCUUACCAAGGCAACGAUGCGUAGCCGACCUGAGAGGGUGAUCGGACAAACUGGAACUGAGACACGGUCCAGACGACUACGGGAGGCAGCAGUAGGGAAUCUUCCGCAAUGGGCGAAAGCCUGACGGAGCAACGCCGCGUGAGUGAUGAAGGUAGUCGGAUCGUAAAACUCUGUUAUUAGGGAAGAAAAAAUGUGUAAGUAACUAUGCACGUAUUGACGGUAACUAAUCAGAAAGCAACGGCUAACUACGUG